rnacentral:rRNA from 1 species
AGUGAACGCUGGCGGUAGGCCUAACACAUGCAAGUCGAACGGCAGCACAGUAAGAGCUUGCUCUUACGGGUGGCGAGUGGCGGACGGGUGAGGAAUACAUCGGAAUCUACUUUUUCGUGGGGGAUAACGUAGGGAAACUUACGCUAAUACCGCAUACGACCUACGGGUGAAAGCAGGGGAUCUUCGGACCUUGCGCGAUUGAAUGAGCCGAUGUCGGAUUAGCUAGUUGGCGGGGUAAAGGCCCACCAAGGCGACGAUCCGUAGCUGGUCUGAGAGGAUGAUCAGCCACACUGGAACUGAGACACGGUCCAGACUCCUACGGGGGGCAGCAGUGGGGAAUAUUGGGCAAUGGGCGCGAGCCUGAUCCAGCCAUACCGCGUGGGUGAAGAAGGCCUUCGGGUUGUAAAGCCCUUUUGUUGGGAAAGAAAAGCAGCAGGUUAAUACCCCGCUGUUCUGACGGUACCCAAAGAAUAAGCACCGGCUAACUUCGUG